GGUUAAGCGAAUAAGCGUACACGGUGGAUGCCUAGGCAAUCAGAGGCGAUGAAGGACGUGCUAAUCUGCGAUAAGCGUCGGUAAGGUGAUAUGAACCGUUAUACCCGACGAUUUCCGAAUGGGGAAACCCAAUAUCCAAUGGAUAUUAUCCUGACAUGAAUACAUAGUGUUAGGAAGCGAACCGGGAGAACUGAAACAUCUCAGUACCCCGAGGAAAAGAAAUCAACCGAGAUUCCCCUAGUAGCGGCGAGCGAACGGGGAACAGCCCAGAGUCUUAAUCAAUAGCAGCAUCAGGAGAACGGUCUGGAAAGUCCGGCAGUAAAGGGUGAUAGCCCCGUAUCCGAAGAUGCUGUUAUUGUGAACUCGACGAGUAGGGCGGGACACGUGUUAUCCUGUCUGAAUAUGGGGGGACCAUCCUCCAAGGCUAAAUACUCCUGAUUGACCGAUAGUGAACCAGUACCGUGAGGGAAAGGCGAAAAGAACCCCGGCGAGGGGAGUGAAAAAGAACCUGAAACCGUGUACGUACAAGCAGUAGGAGCC
rnacentral:rRNA from 1 species